rnacentral:rRNA from 1 species
UACGAGUGCCUCAAGCGUUAUCCGGAAUCAUUGGGCGUAAAGGGUGUGUAGGUGGUUAUGUUAGUCUUGCGUUAAAUUUCCUGGCUCAACCGGGAAGCUGCGUGGGAAACGGCAUGACUUGAGGACGGCAGAGGUUUCUGGAACUCAUAGUGUAGCGGUGAAAUGCGUUGAUAUUCGGAAGAACACCAGUGGCGAAGGCGACUUACUGGACGAUUGUUGACGCUGAGGUGCGAAAGCGUGGGGAGCAAACAGG